GCCAGUUUUUUGAUCCGUAGUAAAAAGUGGUAUGACCAUUUGUUACUUUAACUAUAGUUAAAUGACUAACCAGUAGUAAAAUCGUAAAUGCGUUUUUCAAUGUCUAUUUUAACUAUAGUCAAACUUAACAACUGGCCAAUUUGUUGCCAGUGCAAUGAACAAUGACAUCCCAAUAAAAAUGUUUUUUAUUUGUGGGGAAUAUUUAUUUUGUAUGACAACACAAGACAAACUGAGUGAAUGAAAUCCAUUUUUGACAUCUUCAUUCGUUAUUUGUUCUUGAAAAGUUUGAAGUGUCAAAUUAAUCAAAAUAUAAAUAAAGUUGUUUUUCUCUGUUUUAAUACGUUUUACACCUAUAAAGAUACUAAAAUAUAUAAAUAACGAUGUUAGCAAGCAGCCAACGGGCAAACAAGGACCGUACUAACUUGGCUCAAAAUGAAACCACCAAAUUGAUGAUGCUACUCAAGGAUUACCCAGUCCUAACCUGAAAAGAAAUGGAUCACUCCAGCUAUCUAUAAAAACAAAAAGGGAGAGCGUGAUUUGCCG